ACUGGGAUUCAGGGGCUCACUAUUUGGUUUCACUAGUUUCUUUGGAGGUCUCACAGCUACACUGCUGAUCCAUUGGCUACUGAAUCAGUACUGAGUAGCCAACCCUGCUGGAGUUUGUAGACAUUUGGCCUUUUCUACCUCUAAUCAAGAAGGAAAGAAAACAGCCUCCACAUAGAAAAGGAGUUGAGUGGGAGAGGAGUUUUUACUGAAGUGGACAAAAAUUGUAUUUGUAACAAGGAGUCGGAAGGACUGGGAAGAGGCAAAAUAUGUGGCAAUAAGAGGUUGUUACAUAUUUAAAGAACACAAGAAGCUAGGGCAGAAAGGAAUGAUGCAUCUCCAUAAUUAUUUUAAUAUCACAGCAAAACUAGGAUCCUAACUGGAAGAGAACUCAGAGUUCCUCUAGUCAAACCUCUUUAAUUUUAUAUAUGAAAAAAUUAAAGCCAGGAGAGGUUUGUUAUUUGGUUUAAGGUGACAAAGCUAGUAAGGGUCAGGUGUGGUAUCAAACUGAGUUAAGGAAAAAGCCUUUCUGAAAACCUUUUCAAUUAUAGUUAUGUAAAAUAAAACUCAAGCAAAACACUUCAAGUUUUAUGGCUGAAUAAUUUAAACAAGGUGUUAAUAUAAGAAAAAUGUAUACAAAGUUUAACAGUACAUAUUUCAAUAAUUUUUCAUAUUUCUCAAAUCUUCCUCAUUCUAGGUCUAAUUACAUCAUCUGUGAAAUAAUGAGUUUGAAGUAAAUAAUCUCUAGUACAACUUAGCUUUAAAUUCUCUGAUCUUAUAUAUAGAAAAAUCAUCAAAGACUUUUUUCCCAAGUGCCCCAUUAAUGUGGUAGAAGAAGUUAUGAAAUACAGUUGUAUGGAUUUAUUGAAUAGGGCUGUAGUAAAUAAAGAUAGGGGGAAUGAGAUCUCUUGCCCUUCAGACUAAACUUCUUUAUAUCAGAAAAACUCAGAAUAGAAUUUCUGAAAGAGAUUGUGUUUAUUAUUUUUUCCCAGCUCUUGGUAACUUCAGUGAAAUAUGAAAAAAAUUUUCUGGGCAGCUAGAGGUGGGUUUUUCUCAGUCAAGCAGGAAGGAUGAGUUACUGAGUUAUAGGGUAACCAGUUAUGGGCACAUAAAAGGAAAAAAAAAAGGAGGAAGAACACACAAAUAGAUUGUAAUCACUAUCUUUCCAUCUCCCAUCUCCUUGUUUGAUCACUUUCUAUAUAGCACAAAUCUUGAACUCCAGUCUUACAUUUAAGUUCAAGCUGAGUCUUCAUGACUCAUUAAGAUAAGAGGAAUUUUUCAAUGUUCACAACUUUUAUAACCACGGGUUUCUUUGCCAAGACUUUGUCUCAAUACUAUUGACAGUGUGCUGAUAAUGUGGAAGUUAAUGAUGAUCAGACAUUGAAGAGUGAACAUUCUGCUUGUGGAAGUUCUUCUGCUCAGGUUCCAGUCAACAGUUAUCAUGAGGAUCUUCCACCUGGUUUUCAUGGUGCUCUUUGUGAUCAUCUACAGUACUGACACAGGGUAUGGUAGCCUAACUGCAACUAAAGAAUGUAAAAAACUUAAAGGUAAAUGUAGGAAGAGAUGGUGCCUAUAUCCAGACUUAUCCUGGGGAACCUGUAAUUUUGGGUUGAAAACUUGUUGUGUGCCACAUGACAUUCUGAAACGGAAACCAAAACAUUGAACAUGGAAGGGUAAAAGUAUAGAAAAUGCAAGAAGUUAAAGUCCAUGGCAUAUUAAUUUUUUUAUGAAUAAAGAAAAAUUCAAUUGGAAA